AUCGAACGCUGGCGGCAGGCCUAACACAUGCAAGUCGAGCGGAGCGGCGGACGGGUGUGUACUGCCUAGGAAUCUGCCCGGUGGUGCGGUCCCCCGUCCGGGGACGUGCGCCUUUACCGCAUACUUGCAGAGGACCUUCGGUUGUAUUAGCUAGUUGGAGGGGUAAAGGCUGACCAAGUCGACGAUCCGUAACUGGUCUGAGAGGAUGAUCAGUCACACUGGAACUGAGACACGGGCCAGACUCCUACGGGAGGCAGCAGUGGGGAAUAUUGGACAAUGGGCGAAAGCCUGAUCCAGCCAUGCUGCGUGGGUGAAGAAGGUCUUCGGAUUGUAAAGCCCUUUAAUUUGGGAAGCGUUACCAACAGAAUAAGCAACGGCUAACUACGUGCCAGCAGCCGCGGUAAUAC
rnacentral:rRNA from 1 species